CAGGAAAGAAAAAAAAACCCAAACCCCAUCACUCUGCCAGCCCCUGUGACCAAAGCAGCCCAAAUCAGUUACCUUGACAACUCUCAUGCACAGACUGCACCAGCCUAUGUUGCAAACAUCACUGCCCCGCUUCUAACAGGAAGAGAUACUCUUUUGGGGGUCUUGCAGGGCCCAGGACCAGAGCUCCUUCUACCCAGGGCCCUUCCAAAGGCAAAGCACAGAGUCACAUUUGGGCGUGGCAUGAGAGGGAAAUAAAGAGAUUUGGCUGUAGUGGGAGGGAGGUUUCAGUGCUUUUUCUGGGGACAUUGGUGCCUAUCUCUAUUCUGAGAAUUGUUCUCCUCAUAGGACACCAUAAAUCGCAUCCAGGACCUGCUGGCUGAGGGGACUAUAACAGGUGUGAUUGACGACCGGGGCAAGUUCAUCUACAUAACCCCAGAGGAACUGGCCGCCGUGGCCAACUUCAUCCGACAGCGGGGCCGGGUGUCCAUCGCCGAGCUUGCCCAAGCCAGCAACUCCCUCAUCGCCUGGGGCCGGGAGCCCCCUGCCCAAGCCCCAGCCUGACCCCAGUCCUUCCCUCUUGGACUCAGAGUUGGUGUGGCCUACCUGGCUAUACAUCUUCAUCCCUCCCCACCAUCCUGGGGAAGUGAUGGUGUGGCCAGGCAGUUAUAGAUUAAAGGCCUGUGAGUACUGCUGAGCUUGGUGUGGCUUGGUAUGGCAGAAGGCCUGGCCUAGGAUCCUAGAUAAGCAGGUGAAAUUGAGGCUUCAGAAUAUAUCUGAGAGGUGGGGAGGGUCCCUUGGAAGCUGGUGAAGUCCUGUUCUUAGUAUGAAUCCAUUCAUUCAAGAAAAUAGCCUGUUGCACAUUUA
rnacentral:sRNA from 1 species